rnacentral:rRNA from 1 species
UACGGAGGGUGCGAGCGUUUGUUCGGAAUCACUGGGCGUAAAGCGCGUGUAGGCGGCCCACUAAGUCUGAUGUGAAAAGCCCCGGGGGCUCACCCCCCGGAAGUGCAUUGGAAACUGGUGGACUCGAGUCCCGGAGAGGAGAGUGGAAUUCCUGGUGUAGCGGUGAAAUGCGUAGAUAUCGGGAGGAACACCAGUGGCGAAGGCGGCGACCUGGGCCAAUACUGACGCUGAGGUGCGAAAGCGUGGGGAGCAAACAGG